rnacentral:misc_RNA from 1 species
GAUGAAGAACGUAGCGAAAUGUGAUACUUGGUGUGAAUUGCAGAAUCCCGUGAACCAUCGAGUCUUUUAACGCAAGUUGCGCCCGAAGCCAUUUGGUUGAGGGCACGUCUGCCUGGGCGUCACAUAUCGUUGCCCGAUGCCUAUUGCACUGUGAUAGGAAAUUCUAGGGCGAAAGAUGGCUUCCCGUGAGCGUUGUUGCCUCGCGGUUGGUUGAAAAUUGAGUCCUUGGUAGGGUGUGCCAUGAUAGAUGGUGGUCGAGUUUGCACGAGACCGAUCAUGUGUGCGCUCCCCAAAAUAUGGACUCUUUGACCCCACACGCGUCUUUUGACGCUCAUGACGAGACCUCAGGUCAGGCGGGGCUACCCGCUGAGUUUAAGCAUAUCAAUAAGCGGAGGA